rnacentral:tRNA from 1 species
GGAUUAUGGCUCAGUGGUAGAGUGCUUGCCUAGCAUGACGAGGCACUGGGUUCAAUCCCCAGCACCA